rnacentral:tRNA from 3 species
CGGGGUGUGGCUCAGCCUGGCUAGAGCACCUGCUUUGGGAGCAGGGAGUCGCCGGUUCAAAUCCGGCCACCCCGA